ACAUACGACCAUAGAUAACAGAGAAUUCGGGGUCCCGUCUGCUCCCCCAUAGACAAGCUGGUUAAUCGGCAGAUUAGUAGAGUUGGUUCGGUGACGACCAGCGAACACCGGCUGUUGUAUGUU
rnacentral:rRNA from 1 species